CGCGUAGGCGGAUCUGCAAGUCCGUAAGUGAAAUCCCGCCGCUCAACGGCGGGGCUGCUUGGGAAACGGCAGGUCUGGGGACCGGUAGAGGUCGGUAGAAUUCCCGGUGUAGCGGUGGAAUGCGUAGAGAUCGGGAAGAAUACCCGUGGCGAAGGCGGCCGACUGGGCCGGAUCCGACGCUGAUGCGCGAAAGCGUGGGGAGCAAAACA
rnacentral:rRNA from 1 species